CAGGAGUUCCAGCAAAGGAGACCUUCAACGGAGCAAGUCUAAGAGAAGACAGUCUGCCAGCUAUAGGAGUAAUCUCCCUUCCAAGAGCAACCAAGAAACUCCAAGCAACAGUGAGAGUGAGAAAAGCUGGGUCCUUGACUCUCAGAAAAAGCUGGUGUCAAAAUCCGCAGACUAUACUCGGAAAAAGCCGAGGGUCAGGAGCAAGUUAAAAGUAUUGCCAUUGUCUUCUCCAAGUAGUGGCAGCGAUCACCGUGGAAAGAAGGU